AAAAAAACACUACGGUAUAUUAAUACCCGCGGACGCUACAAAUCACUGUUGAUCCGAAAUGACAAAUCGAUCACCGUCCCUCGAUAGCGGCCGUGAUAGCGGACGUCCGUUCGGACGACGACGGACAUGCUACGUAUACGUGUACAAUUAAUAUCGCAUCGUGUAACAAUGUACGAUUGUAACAGGUUAAAACAGAGCGUGUGUUCCAUUUUCGCGUUCGUCGUUAUGGGUGAGUUAUAAGCGAUAGUGUCAUCGUCAUACGAAUUUUUUUUUCCCCUCUCGUUUCUUAACGGCCCGCGAGUUAAACACCCCCGUCGUUUACAAGCGAACGAUAGGCCCGAACAACCGUCGUAAUAAUACCCUGUGCGCUGUGUGAUGCUGAUUGAUGCGGCUGCUGCUGUUGCCGCUUCGAAUCCGUCCGGCUGUGCGUUUAACAACAACAACAACAACAACAAUAAUAAUAAUACUAAAAUAAUCCACGUUGGCAAUAACAUUAUGCGACUGUCAUCGUCGCCCCACUGCAUCAUCUGCACAUUCCGAGCGUGCGCGGAACACUCGUUAAAAAACGUACCUACCUCUACCUGUUCCGUCUCCGAGACACGCGUAUAUUAUUAUGUUAUACAGACGGUGCAUCGGGAAUGUAUUAUAUCUGGCUGCCGGGUACAGAGCGGCUGAACGCAAUUAAACAAAAAGUGAAA